UGAGUAACACGUAUCCAACCUGCCGUCUACUCUUGGACAGCCUUCUGAAAGGAAGAUUAAUACAAGAUGGCAUCAUGAGUCCGCAUGUUCACAUGAUUAAAGGUAUUCCGGUAGACGAUGGGGAUGCGUCCCAUUAGAUAGUAGGCGGGGUAACGGCCCACCUAGUCUUCGAUGGAUAGGGGUUCUGAGAGGAAGGUCCCCCACAUUGGAACUGAGACACGGUCCAA
rnacentral:rRNA from 1 species